AUAGCCUAGGAGAUACACCUGUACCCAUGCCGAACACAGAAGUUAAGCCCUAGAACGCCGGAAGUAGUUGGGGGUUGCCCCCUGUGAGAUAUGGAA
rnacentral:rRNA from 1 species